AUUGAUGCGCUGGUGGCUUGUUGGAGAUAUAUAUGUCGAUUUUUUUUCUUGACGAUAAUAUUUGUGCCUGGACUUACUGCUUCACGCAAAUCAAUUUAUCGUUCAAGAGAUGACGGUUUGAGGUGGAAAAAAUAUUUUGUUCAAAUAACAGAAGAUUGGGAGCGAUUCUGGCAUCUUGACGAGCGUGUGGAUGGAGUAGAUUUUUUUGCACUUUGCGAUUACUGGGACACAGCUAAAAUUCAGGCUCAAGCUGAAAUAGCAAGGAGUAAACGCAACGCGCCCCGCAGUUACGAGCGUCACGGGGGCUCCAGGUCCUUCAGCCAGCAUUAUCAUCAAUUGGAGCUUGAGGGAAGGGGAGAUCUCGAACAUUUUGCAGAUC